CCUACGGGAGGCAGCAGUGAGGAAUCUUGCGCAAUGGGCGAAAGCCUGACGCAGCCACGCCGCGUGCCGGAUGAAGGCCCUAUGGGUUGUAAACGGCUUUUACUAGGGAAGAACGAGAGGGUUUCGAUCUUCUGUGACGGUACCUAGUGAAUAAGCACCGGCUAACUCCGUGCCAGCAGCCGCGGUAAUACGGAGGGUGCAAGCGUUGUCCGGAAUCAUUGGGUGUAAAGGGUACGUAGGCGGGAGCCUAAGUCUGGGGUGAAAUCUUGCCGCUUAACGGUAAAAUGGCCCUGGAUACUGGGUUUCUUGAGUGCAGAAGAGGCAGGUGGAAUUCGUGGUGUAGCGGUGAAAUGCUUAGAUAUCACGAAGAACAUCAGUGGCGAAGGCGGCCUGCUGGUCUGCAACUGACGCUGAGGUACGAAAGCGUGGGGAGCGAACAGGAUUAGAUACCCUGGUAGUCCACGCCGUAUACGAUGCAUACUAGGUGUUGGCCUUAGGGCCAGUGCUGCAGUUAACGCAUUAAGUAUGCCACCUGGGGAGUACGUCGGCAACGAUGAAACUCAAAGGAAUUGACGG
rnacentral:rRNA from 1 species